rnacentral:rRNA from 1 species
CGGGACACGUGGUAUCCUGUCUGAAUAUGGGGGGACCAUCCUCCAAGGCUAAAUACUCCUGACUGACCGAUAGUGAACCAGUACCGUGAGGGAAAGGCGAAAAGAACCCCGGCGAGGGGAGUGAAAAAGAACCUGAAACCGUGUACGUACAAGCAGUGGGAGCACGCUUCGGCGUGUGACUGCGUACCUUUUGUAUAAUGGGUCAGCGACUUAUAUUCUGUAGCAAGGUUAACCGAAUAGGGGAGCCGAAGGGAAACCGAGUCUUAACUGGGCGUUAAGUUGCAGGGUAUAGACCCGAAACCCGGUGAUCUAGCCAUGGGCAGGUUGAAGGUUGGGUAACACUAACUGGAGGACCGAACCGACUAAUGUUGAAAAAUUAGCGGAUGACUUGUGGCUGGGGGUGAAAGGCCAAUCAAACCGGGAGAUAGCUGGUUCUCCCCGAAAGCUAUUUAGGUAGCGCCUCGUGAAUUCAUCUCCGGGGGUAGAGCACUGUUUCGGCAAGGGGGUCAUCCCGACUUACCAACCCGAUGCAAACUGCGAAUACCGGAGAAUGUUAUCACGGGAGACACACGGCGGGUGCUAACGUCCGUCGUGAAGAGGGAAACAACCCAGACCGCCAGCUAAGGUCCCAAAGUCAUGGUUAAGUGGGAAACGAUGUGGGAAGGCCCAGACAGCCAGGAUGUUGGCUUAGAAGCAGCCAUCAUUUAAAGAAAGCGUAAUAGCUCACUGGUCGAGUCGGCCUGCGCGGAAGAUGUAACGGGGCUAAACCAUGCACCGAAGCUGCGGCAGCGACACUAUGUGUUGUUGGGUAGGGGAGCGUUCUGUAAGCCUGUGAAGGUGUACUGUGAGGUAUGCUGGAGGUAUCAGAAGUGCGAAUGCUGACAUAAGUAACGAUAAAGCGGGUGAAAAGCCCGCUCGCCGGAAGACCAAGGGUUCCUGUCCAACGUUAAUCGGGGCAGGGUGAGUCGACCCCUAAGGCGAGGCCGAAAGGCGUAGUCGAUGGGAAACAGGUUAAUAUUCCUGUACUUGGUGUUACUGCGAAGGGGGGACGGAGAAGGCUAUGUUGGCCGGGCGACGGUUGUCCCGGUUUAAGCGUGUAGGCUGGUUUUCCAGGCAAAUCCGGAAAAU